GACGAACGCUGGCGGCGUGCUUAACACAUGCAAGUCGAACGGUGAAGCGCCUUCCUUUUUGGUUGGUGUGGAUGCGUGGCGAACGGGUGAGUAACACGUGAGUAACCUGCCCCCUUCUUCUGGAUAACCGCAUGAAAGUGUGUCUAAUACGGGAUAUUCUGGGUCUGUCGCAUGAUGGGUCUGGGAAAGAUAUUGUUUCGGUGGGGGCUGGGCUCCGGGCUGUUCGGGUUGUUGGGGGGGUGAUGGCCUUCCACGGCGGUGACGGUUAGCCGGCGUGGGAGGGUGGACGGUCAGAGUGGGACUGAGGCACGGCCCAGACUGCGACGCGGGGCAGCAGUGGGGAAUAUGGCACAGUGGGGGAAAGCCUGAUGCGGCGAGGCGGCGGGAGCGAUGGCGGCGUGCGGGGGGUGAACCUCUUUCGCCAGUGAAGCAGGCCUGCCUGGUAUGUGGGUGGGGUGACGGUAGCUGGAUAAGAAGCGCCGGCUAACUACGUG
rnacentral:rRNA from 1 species